rnacentral:rRNA from 1 species
UACGUAGGGUGCGAGCGUUGUCCGGAAUUAUUGGGCGUAAAGGGCUCGUAGGCGGUUUGUCACGUCGGGAGUGAAAACUCGGGGCUUAACCCCGAGCCUGCUUCCGAUACGGGCAGACUAGAGGUAUGCAGGGGAGAACGGAAUUCCUGGUGUAGCGGUGAAAUGCGCAGAUAUCAGGAGGAACACCGGUGGCGAAGGCGGUUCUCUGGGCCGAUACUGACGCUGAGGAGCGAAAGCGUGGGGAGCAAACAGG